UAGGGUGUGGCUCAGCGGUAGAGCACUCACCUCACACGUGAGAGACCGUGGGUUCGAUCCUCAGCACCACAU
rnacentral:tRNA from 1 species